rnacentral:misc_RNA from 1 species
UCCAGUUUAUCACUGGCAGUCCCCUUAGAGUGCCCAGCUUAACCUGAUGGCAACUAAGGGCAAUGGUUGCGCUCGUUGCGGGACUUAACCCAACACUUCACAGCACGAGCUGACGACAGCCAUGCAGCACCUGUGCUAACCUUCGAUUGGAUACGAUCGUCCCAACUUUCAUCAGGACUACUGCUAGCAAGUCAAGCCUAGGUAAGGUUCUUCGCGUAGCCUCGAAUUAAACCACAUGCUCCACCGCUUGUGCGGGUCCCCGUCAAUUCCUUUGAGUUUCAGUCUUGCGACCGUACUCCCCAGGUGGUGGAUUUAAUGUGUUAACUUCGGCAUUGAGAGGAUCGACACUCCCAACACCCAAUCCACAUCGUUUACGGCAAGGACUAC